rnacentral:rRNA from 1 species
CCUACGGGUGGCAGCAGUGAGGAAUAUUGGUCAAUGGAGGAAACCCUGAUGCAGCGACGCCGCGUGUAGGAAGACGGUCCUCUGGAUUGUAAACUACUGUCCCCAGGGACGAAGAUGACGGUACCUGGGGAGGAAGCUCCGGCUAACUACGUGCCAGCAGCCGCGGUAAUACGUAGGGAGCGAGCGUUGUCCGGAAUUACUGGGUGUAAAGGGAGCGUAGGCGGGGAUGCAAGUUGGGUGUUAAAUCUACCGGCUCAACUGGUAGUCGCACUCAAAACUGCAGCUCUUGAGUGAAGUAGAGGCAGGCGGAAUUCCUAGGGUAGCGGUGAAAUGCGUAGAUAUUAGGAGGAACACCAGUGGCGAAGGCGGCCUGCUGGGCUUUUACUGACGCUGAGGCUCGAAAGUGUGGGGAGCAAACAGGAUUAGAUACCCCAGUAGUC